rnacentral:rRNA from 1 species
AUUGAACGCUGGCGGCAGGCUUAACACAUGCAAGUCGAGCGGAGCGAGGGUGCUUGCACCUUAGCUUAGCGGCGGACGGGUGAGUAAUGCUUAGGAAUCUGCCUAUUAGUGGGGGACAACAUUCCGAAAGGAAUGCUAAUACCGCAUACGCCCUACGGGGGAAAGCAGGGGAUCUUCGGACCUUGCGCUAAUAGAUGAGCCUAAGUCGGAUUAGCUAGUUGGUGGGGUAAAGGCCUACCAAGGCGACGAUCUGUAGCGGGUCUGAGAGGAUGAGCCGCCACACUGGGACUGAGACACGGCCCAGACUCCUACGGGAGGCAGCAGUGGGGAAUAUUGGACAAUGGGCGGAAGCCUGAUCUAGCCAUGCCGCGUGUGUGAAGAAGGCCUUUUGGUUGUAAAGCACUUUAAGCGAGGAGGAGGCUACUUAGAUUAAUACUCUGGGAUAGUGGACGUUACUCGCAGAAUAAGCACCGGCUAACUCUGUGCCAGCCGCCGCAGUAA